rnacentral:rRNA from 1 species
AUUGAACGCUGGCGGCAUGCCUUACACAUGCAAGUCGAACGGCAGCGGACCUUCGGGUGCCGGCGAGUGGCGAACGGGUGAGUAAUGCAUCGGAACGUACCCUUCAGUGGGGGAUAACGUAGCGAAAGUUACGCUAAUACCGCAUAUUCUGUGAGCAGGAAAGCAGGGGAUCGCAAGACCUUGCGCUGAUUGAGCGGCCGAUGUCAGAUUAGCUAGUUGGUGAGGUAAAGGCUCACCAAGGCGACGAUCUGUAGCGGGUCUGAGAGGAUGAUCCGCCACACUGGAACUGAGACACGGUCCAGACUCCUACGGGAGGCAGCAGUGGGGAAUUUUGGACAAUGGGGGCAACCCUGAUCCAGCCAUGCCGCGUGAGUGAAGAAGGCCUUCGGGUUGUAAAGCUCUUUCGGCCGGGAAGAAAUCGCACGGGCUAAUACCCUGUGUGGAUGACGGUACCGGAAUAAGAAGCACCGGCUAACUACGCGCCAGCCGCCGCAGUAAAAC